rnacentral:rRNA from 1 species
GAUGAACGCUAGCGGCAGGCUUAACACAUGCAAGUCGAGGGGUAGAGGUUGCUUGCAACCUUGAGACCGGCGCACGGGUGCGUAACGCGUAUGCAACCUACCUUUUACAGAGGGAUAGCCCAGAGAAAUUUGGAUUAAUACCUCAUAGUAUAUAACCUUCGCAUGUUGGUUAUAUUAAAGUUCCAACGGUAAAAGAUGGGCAUGCGUCCUAUUAGCUAGAUGGUAAGGUAACGGCUUACCAUGACAACGACAGGUAGGGGUCCUGAGAGGGAGAUCCCCCACACUGGUACUGAGACACGGACCAGACGCCUACGGGAGGCAGCAGUGAGGAAUAUUGGACAAUGGGCGCAAGCCUGAUCCAGCCAUGCCGCGUGCAGGAAGAAGCAUCUAUGGUGUGUAAACUGCUUUUGUACAGGAAGAAACACCCCGACGUGUCGGGACUUGACGGUACUGUAAGAAUAAGGAUCGGCUAACUCCGUGCCAGCCGCCGCCGUAAAAC